ACACACAUUGUCUUUGGCCCAAGGACCAUGUCAUCGAACACAAACCUUAAUCUUCUAGCGACGUCUACCCCUUCGUUCUCUCAGUUCUUUCCGGCGGCGAUGAUGGCGAUUAUGUUUCUGUAACGGAUGUGUUACGAUUCCUGCAUAAUUACUCUCAGUGUCUUUAAUUCGUGAGUCCACUACGACCUCUCUGGUUGCGUUGCUCAUACGUCGACUUCGUGUGUAAAUAGGAAGGUGCUCAUAUAUUUUGGGAAAGAUGGGCACAACUGGAGGAAGAAGAAAGAUGGUAAAACGGUGAAAGAGGCUCACGAAAAGCUGAAGGUUGGAAGCAUUGAUGUGUUACACUGUUACUAUGCACACGGGAAGACAAUGAGAAUCUCCAGAGGCGUUGCUACUGGAUGCUUGAACAGGUAAUAGGAUAAGCUCCAGUGGAAUAAAAGAAAACAAUUCAAAUUCUCUGAGUGGCUCUACUUCUGUGAAUAUUGAUUCAACGGCACACACAUCCAGCACAUCGUCACUACUAUGUGAAGAUGCUAAUUCUGGAAACCAAGAUUGUUGGAUUCAUGGGAAUAUAGUAAAAGAAAACGACUCCCAAAGAUUAGUGGGUGUCCUAUAUCGACAUGAUUAGGAGGCUCCGACUUAUGCGCAUAGUUUAAACCAGUUCAAAGAGGAAGAUAGAGUGUGAUGGUUGUAAAAAAAAAGUGUGAUAAGUAUGAUGCAUUUACGUCAGUACAUUUUAAAAGAAAAACAUACAAUAGCCUUACACUAAUCACUAUGUUUCUUUUGAUCAAAUCACUAUGUUAUUUCUAUAGAAAAUGUAUAAAUAAUUAGCUA